rnacentral:misc_RNA from 1 species
GACGAAGAACGUAGCGAAAUGCGAUACGUAAUGUGAAUUGCAGAAUUCAGUGAAUCAUCGAAUCUUUGAACGCAUAUUGCGCUCUCUGGUAUUCCGGAGAGCAUGCUUGUUUGAGUAUCAGUAAACACCUCAACUCCCCUUUCUUUUUUUGAAAUGGGAGCUGGACUUGAGUGAUCCCAACGCUUUUCUCACCGAAAAGUGGCGGGUUACUUGAAAUGCAGGUGCAGCUGGACUUUUCUCUGAGCUAAAAGCAUAUCUAUUUAGUCUGCCUAAAAAACAGAUUAUUACCUUUGCUGCAGCUAACAUAAAGGAGAUUAGUUCUUGUGCUGACUGAUGCAGGAUUCACAGAGACAGCUUCGGCUGGCCUUUGUAAACUCGAUCUCAAAUCAAGUAAGACUACCCGCUGAACUUAAGCAUAUCAAUAAGCGGAGGA